UACGGAGGAUGCGAGCGUUAUCCGGAUUUAUUGGGUUUAAAGGGUGCGUAGGCGGGAUAUUAAGUCAGCGGUGAAAGUUUUCGGCUCAACCUUAAAAUUGCCGUUGAAACUGUUAUUCUUGAGUGCAGUAGAGGUAGGCGGAAUUCGUUGUGUAGCGGUGAAAUGCGUAGAUAUAACGAGGAACUCCGAUUGCGUAGGCAGCUUACUAUAUUGCUACUGACGCUGAGGCACGAAAGUGUGGGUAUCAAACAGGAUUAGAUACC
rnacentral:rRNA from 1 species